rnacentral:rRNA from 1 species
UACGGAGGGGGCUAGCGUUGUUCGGAAUUACUGGGCGUAAAGCGCGCGUAGGCGGCUUUGUAAGUUAGAGGUGAAAGCCCGGAGCUCAACUCCGGAACUGCCUUUAAGACUGCAUCGCUAGAAUUGUGGAGAGGUGAGUGGAAUUCCGAGUGUAGAGGUGAAAUUCGUAGAUAUUCGGCGGAACACCGAGUGGCGAAGGCGGGUUGCUGGGCCGACACUGACGCUGAUGCGCGAAAGCCAGGGGAGCGAACGGG